AAAACGAGACGUUUAUUAGAUUAAGAGAAUGAAAUGAUUUAGAGAAGAUUAAGGAACAGAAUGUGAGAUUAUGAAGAGUUUAGGUGAGAAUCAUGAUUAAGAGAGUAUGAAUGUAGAGAGAUAGACUCAGAACUGUAUGUUUAUUAUUAAUGACAAGAGUUACAAUAUAUAGUGAGAGAUCAUUAGGGUUUUCGAAAUCAUAAAGAGGAGCUAAGCAUGUGAGGUCAACAAGGUUAGGAUAAGCUCUCUUUAACUCGGCCAAUCAGCGUUCCCACAUGCUUGGAGCAUCUAGGAUCUUGGACAAAGAUGCUCUUGCCUUUCCAGCUGUGCCAGCCUGUAAAGCCGCGCCUCUCUUAUCCUCAAACGGUCUGAUUCAUCAGCCAAAGCUCCUUCUCCUCCCAUAAGUUACUCGGGUAACUUCUUGUAACCGCGGUCGAGGUUUCACUUGUCUGGAUGUGUACGGACCGUACGGCCUUGUACGGCCUUGUACGGUCAGGCCAAUGUGAACCUCUCCCAUCACACCAAUGCUUAACAUACCCUCUUCAGUCUUCACCCCUUAGUACUUCACACUUGUAUAUUCAACUCUUCUCAACACUCCCCCUCAAGCUUAGCUUUGUGAAGUCUAAGCUUGGACACUAUGAGAUCUUCCUCAUUAAAAACCUCAUCAAAGAAAACCCAUUGGGACAAAACUUUGAUGAGGGAAAAAGAGUAAAGACCUCACAGGAAGGGGAUCAGCUCUUGGCUGAGAGAUCAAUGAGUCCUAACCUGAUGUAGAUGGACUCCAUUGUCUUCAUCCUUGCGGCUUUAGUAAACACAUCAGCCAACUGAUCUUCACUUCUUGUAUAGCAUGGCAGAAUCACUCCCAAGACUAUCAUCUGCCUCACCUUGUGACAAUCCACUUCAAUAUGCUUGGUUCUCUCAUGAAACACUGAGUUAGAGGCAAUGUGGAUUGCAGCCUGGUUGUCACAAUGCAUUGUCAUAGGCGCCGCUUGCUCAAUCUCAAUGUGCUUCAAGAUCCCCUUGAUCCACACUAACUCAUUGGUAAGCUUCAGCAUUGCCCUAUACUCAGCUUCAGCACUUGAGCAGGAGACUACUUUCUGCUUCUUGCUCUUCCAAGUCACAAGGUUCCCUCCAAUGAAGGUGCAGUAACCGGUUGUAGAUCUUCUGUCUGCUCUAUCUCCAGCCCAAUCUGCAUCACAGUAGCCUACUACUUCUGUACUCCCAUUGCAUCCCAUCCAAACUCCUUGGCCUGGUGAUCCGUUGAGAUAGCUAAGCACUCUGUCCACCAUUCUCCAAUGGUGAUCCUUUGGAGCUUGCAUAUGUUGACUAACCUGAUUCACAGCAAAGCAGAUAUCAGGUCGUGUAAUUGUUAAGUAGAUUAGCUUACCCACUAGCUUCCUAUAAAGCUUAGGGUCGUGGAAUAGCUUGCUGUCUUCAAGCUCCCCCUCUCUUGGUACUUUGUACCCAUCCUCCAUUGGCAUCUUAGCAGUUUGUCCUCCAAGUUUACCUGCAUCUUUCAAAAGAUCAAGUGUAUACUUCCUUUGGGACAUGAAUAAACCUUCCUUGGAUCUACAAAUCUCAAUUCCAAGAAAGUAUUUCAUUUCCCCUAAAUCCUUGAUUUCAAAUACAGAUUUAAGGUAGUCUUUGGUCUCUUGUAUUCCAACCUUAUCACUUCCAGUAAUGAUAAUGUCAUCCACAUAGACCAAGAGACAGAUGAUACCUGAUUGUGUGACUAGAGUGAACAGCGUGUGAUCCAAUUCUGAUUUCCGGAAGCCUCUUCCAUUCAAGGUUGUGCUCAGCUUAUGAUACCAUGCUCUAGGAGAUUGCUUCAGUCCAUAGAUGGCUUUCUUAAGUCUCAACACAUUUCCGGGCUUCACCAUGCUCUCUAGUCCCGGAGGAGGAUGCAUGUAUACUUCAUCUUCAAGCUCCCCUUGGAGGAAUGCAUUCUUCACAUCCAUCUGCCAUAAGCCCCAUCCAAGGUUUGUUGCAAUGGAUAAUAUGAUUCUGAUUGUGUGAAGUUUAGCCACUGGUGCAAAGGUAUCAAUAUAAUCUUCUCCAUAUGUUUGAGUAAACCCUCUAGCCACCAGCCUUGUCUUCUUCCUAUCAAUCCUUCCAUCAGGUAGAUACUUGAUUGUAAAUAUCCAUUUACAAGACACUGCCUUCUUCCCUUUAGGCAGCUCACUCUCAUACCAGGUUUCAUUCUUAAUCAUAGCAUCAGCCUCAUCCGCAACUGAAUCUCUCCAUUCUUUGUCUUUCAUUGCCUCAUCAUAUGUCCUUGGUAUAUAGCUUGUAUCCAAACUGAUCAUAAAUGCGUGAUGUUCAUCUGGAAACUGAGCAAAUGAACACACAGCUUGACUAGGAUGUGCCACAGCUUGAGCAUUGUAGUAGACUCUGGUGUUGGUCCAGUUAGAUGGAUCCCUCCUCACUCUUGUACUCCUUCUUAACGGUACUGUCUCCAUAAGUGGAUCAAUCUCCACUCCCGGUUCCCUAGUUGCCGCUUCAUUCAGUACUUCUCCUUCUUCUCCUCUUUCAGAUUGUACCUCAAACUGAUCUCUUUCUUCAGUUUCAUCUUCAUUUCGCAUCCCUUGUUGAUCAGGACUUGCGCUCCCUUCAUUCUCAUGAGCUCCAUCAGACUGGUUUCCCCCUUCAUGAUCAGCAUGGGGUGUGUCUUCAGCUUCAUUUUGAACUGGUGCUUCUCGCCCUUUUGGAUCCUGGGUUGUAUUGAUCCCAAGACCAUCCAAGAUCAUCCUAAGGCUUGCAGCCUUGUCAGAUGGUUGAGCUAGAUCCUUCAAAUCUUCCCAGCUUCUUUCUUCAUAGUACCCCUUAGUCUCUAUAAACUUCACGUCUCUUGACACUAGGAGUCUUCUCGUUUGAGGAUCAAAGCACUUGUAUCCUCUUUGUGUAGUGGAAUACCCCACAAACAUAGCCUUAGUACUCUUAGGUUCCAGCUUGUUCCUCAUAUCUCCCGGAAUCAGUACAUAACAAAGGCUUCCAAACACUCUCAAGUGGCUUAGAGAUGGCUUGAGCUUGUUUAACACUUCAAAUGGUGAUUGAUCCUCCAAGACUCUUGUGGGAAUCCGAUUGAUCAAGUAGCAGGCUGAGAUCACAGCAUCACUCCAGAAUCUCUUUGGGACAUUUGUUUGGAACAUCAUUGAUCUUGCAACCUCCAUGAGGUGUCGAUUCUUUCUCUCAGCCACUCCAUUCUGCUGUGGAGUGUAGGGACAGCUAGUUUGAUGAAGGAUUCCGUGUGAAGCUAGAUGUUGCUUGAAGGCAUUGCUUGUAUACUCCCCACCAUUAUCUGAUCUGAAAAUCUUAAGCUUGGCAUUAUAAUGGUUAGAUACAUAAGCUUGAAAGUUUUUAAAUGCCUCAAGAACUCUAUCCUUAGUUUUAAUGAGUGUUAACCAGGUGUAUUUGGAUUUUUCAUCAAUGAAUGUUACAAAAUACUUAUAGUUUUCCCUAGACAAGCAAGGAGCAGUCCACACAUCAGAAUGCACAAGAUCAAAACAUUUCUCAUAGAUAGUAGUUGAGUUCUUAAAGACUGUCUUACAAUGUUUGCCCAAGAUACAUGCUUCACAUUCAUUAUUUUUAAACAUGACACCUGGUAACAUUAAGCUUAAGGCUCUAACAUGUGGGUGACCUAGUCUAGCAUGCCACAAUGCAUUAUUAUUCAAACUGGAAAUAGAACUAAACGAGCAACUUGAAUUGGAAACAGGAGCUAUGUCUUCUAGCAUAUAAAGCUCUCCUUUGGUAACUCCCUUGCCAAUCAUUUUCCUUGUAUCAAUAUCCUGAAACUUCACAUCAUUAGGACUAAAGAUAACAUUGCAAUGCAAAUCAGUAGUACAUCUUUUAACAGAUAAUAAAUUAGAUGUGAAUUCAGGCAUAUAAAAUGCUUUAGACUCUUUAUCAAACAGCUUUAGAUUUCCUAUUCCUUUAAUUGCAAUUCUAUCACCAUUAGCAAUCAUCACAUUUCCACAAGCAGGUUUUAUAUUUUUAAUCAAACUAGUGUCACUAAUCAUGUGAUGAGAAGCUCCUGAAUCUACAAUCAAUGGUUUUAUCACAUUACUAGCUGCAAAGGUUCUAUGCAAAUCAUUCAAGCUGUUUAGAGUUCUAGGUGCUCUAGUAAUCUCAAUACUAUGACUUAGAUAUCCAUCAGUUCUAUCUAUAUAGGAUGCAGCAAGAGAGUAUCCUAAAGGAGAGUUCAUACAGUUACCAUUCUCCUUGAGAGCUUUGAUGAGGGCAUCAAUGUCUGAUCUCCUUAUCAUCUCACCAUCAGUGCUCUUCCCCGGAGUGUGUUGGGUAGUUAAGGCCUUUCCUUCACCAUCUCGCAUUGUCUGCCCAGCUCCGGAUGUUCCAGCUUCACUUGCCCCUUCAGACAGAUGCGCCCUUGCUUCUUUCUCCUUCAGGAACUUUGCUGGCUUGAGGUGAGGGUGUAGAAUCCAGCAUUGGCUUCUCUUGUGGUCCUGCUUCUUGCAAUGGUCACACUUUCCUCCAAACUUCCCUUCUUCAGUGCGGUAAGCCGCCUUGUUUGCCUGGAUAGUAUCAGCUUGGUUUGCAAGUGUGAGCUCCCCCUUGCCUCCGAACAGCCCAACUGAUCCCUCUUCUUUUUGUAUCUGAGCACACACAUCUUCAAGGGAGGGAAGCUUUGGUGACCUCAAGAUGUGCUUGAUGAGAUCAUUAAAGAUCGGAUUCAAGGUGAGUAGUAAGCCGAACACUUGGUCUUGUUCUCUCCUUUCCAUGAGCACAUCUUGGUCAGUGGUGUUGGGCCUCAGCAUCUCUAGCUCUGACCACAAGGCUCUGAACUUUCCCAAGUGUUUAGUAAACUCCACCUCCUCUUGCACAAGUGUGUUGAUCGAUCUCUUCAACUCAAACACACGGCUCAGGUUAGAUGUGUUACCAUAGACCUUUUGGAGUGUCUCCCACAGGUCCUUUGGCGUCUCACAGUAGCUGUAUGCUUCCAAGAUCGAGGCUUCAAGUGACCCAUGUAGCACCGUAAUCACCUUCAAGUCAUCCUGAUCCCACUUCUCUUGAUCUGCCACCACCAGCUCUUGACCGCCUUCUCCUUCUCUAGCAACUGGUCUUGGAGCUCCACCAGAGAUAUGGCUCCAUAGACCCUUGCUCCCAACCGCUGCUUUCACCAAGCGAGACCACAACAGGUAGUUAGUACCACCCUUCAACGUAACCGCCACCGAGAGAGUCUUGCUCUUGCUUUCCUCCAUUCCAAAUGCUUUAAAGAACAACCGUAGAUGAAAUGAAGCUGAAGAUUAAUGAGAUUAGAAACCAGAAUAUGAGCAACCUGGCUCUGAUACCAUAUUAGAUUAAGAGAAUGAAAUGAUUUAGAGAAGAUUAAGGAACAGAAUGUGAGAUUAUGAAGAGUUUAGGUGAGAAUCAUGAUUAAGAGAGUAUGAAUGUAGAGAGAUAGACUCAGAACUGUAUGUUUAUUAUUAAUGACAAGAGUUACAAUAUAUAGUGAGAGAUCAUUAGGGUUUUCGAAAUCAUAAAGAGGAGCUAAGCAUGUGAGGUCAACAAGGUUAGGA
rnacentral:lncRNA from 1 species